rnacentral:rRNA from 1 species
AACGUAGGAGGCGAGCGUUAUCCGGAGUUACUGGGCGUAAAGCGCGCGCAGGCGGUUGGGUAAGUGGCUGGUGAAAGCCCGUGGCUAAACCGGGGGAGUGCCGGUCAGACUGUCCGACUAGAGGACGAUAGAGGGACGCAGAAUUCCGGGUGUAGCGGUGAAAUGUGUAGAGAUCCGGGGGAAUACCAGAGGAGCAGUCGGCGUCCUGGGUCGUAGCUGGCGCUGAGGCGCGAAAGCGUGGGGAGCGAACGGG